UAUAAAUGCAACCAUGAGUUUUCGUGCUUAACUUUGAUCAUCUGUCUUAUUUGAAUUUUUUUUAUAAUUAGUAUUUUUUUUUGUUGUUAUGAGAUGAUAAAAUAUUAAUAGUACUUUACUUGUUACUUAUGUUUUUAAUUUUUUUUCAAGAAAUUUUUAGAUAAGACGGACGAUUAAAGUUGGACGCGGAAAACCAUAGGUGCACUUAAA
rfam:Oryza sativa Japonica Group DNA, chromosome 4, cultivar: Nipponbare, complete sequence.